rnacentral:misc_RNA from 1 species
CUACCUGAUCCGAGGUCAACCUUUGGAUAUGAUGGAUGUUAUUAUGGGGGACAGCUGACUGGGUUAAGAAACUACAAUGUGCGAAUCUGCAGCAAAGCGAGGGGAACAAGAUCAUCAAGGUCAUGCAUAUACCCCUCAAAUCCCACCACAAACCCAAGUAUCCCACCACCAAAUUUGCAGUGGGGAGGAGAGAUUCUCGCCAAACAUAUAGUGGGCAAGCUCAACAAUACUCCAUAUCCCUCCACCACCAACACCGAUUCCCCCCCACCCUCCGGAUACGGAAAAGAAAGGGAUUCGAGAUGGUCGUUAAUGACUCUCGAACAGGCAUGCCUCCCGGAAUACCAGUAAGGCGCAAUGUGCGUAA